AUUGAACGCUGGCGGCAGGCCUAACACAUGCAAGUCGAGCGCGCGGCGGACGGGUGAGUAAUGUAUGGGGAUCUGCCCGAUAGAGGGGGAUAACUACUGGAAACGGUGGCUAAUACCGCAUACUAUCGGAUGAACCCAUAUGGGAUUAGCUAGUAGGUGGGGUAAAGGCUCACCUAGGCGACGAUCUCUAGCUGGUCUGAGAGGAUGACCAGCCACACUGGAACUGAGACACGGUCCAGACUCCUACGGGAGGCAGCAGUGGGGAAUAUUGCACAAUGGGCGCAAGCCUGAUGCAGCCAUGCCGCGUGUAUGAAGAAGGCCUUCGGGUUGUAAAGUACUUUCAGCGGGGAGGCGUUACCCGCAGAAGAAGCACCGGCUAACUCCGUGCCAGCAGCCGCGGUAAUAC
rnacentral:rRNA from 1 species